UUUUUCUCUGGGAAGAAGACAAGGCAUUUUACAAACCGAACAUUUUCAUAAUUUCCGUGUUUCAGCAGUGCAUUUGCACACACUUUUUACAGUGAAGUUUUCAUGUUCCACAAUGGAUUUAAUUUAGUGAUAUUUUAGAUAGACGAUUGGACAUUAACAAACAUGGCUGCGGGACGGGUAAAAGUUGUGAUUCUGGGACACUCGUUUAUACGUCGAUUGCGAGAUUCUGUGUUUUCAACACCGAACUAUGGUAAUUUGCGUUUAUUCUCAUCACAUUUUUCUGUAAAAUUUCGAGCAACAGGAGGGUUGACUAUCAGACGAUUGGCCAAUUCCUCAAACUUGUUGAACUUUGACGAUGAACAUAUGUGUUUUCUCCAAAUCGGAAGUAAUGAUCUGUGUAAUUUAUCGUUGCCAGUUAAGGACAUUGCCAAUGCAAUAACUUCUUUUGCCUCAUUUUUGAUAGUGACAGGAAAAGUAAAAAUUGUGAUCAUCGGCCAGGUGCUUUUCCGCUCGCCACGUGUGACAGAUCCUCGGUACAACGACAGAGUUACAGAACUGAAUGUGUUGUUAGAAUCUAUCUGUAUAAACUCUGACUUACAUUUAAAGUUUUGGCAUCACCGUGGAUUUUGGAAUGACCAAAGCAUGUCCCAUUUAUCCUCUGACGGUGUCCACCUACAGAAUCCUAGGGAAAAUGCCCGUCCCAUGCAGAAAUACGCCCAAAACAUCAAAAGUGCAAUACUACAUUGUGCCCGCACUUCCAUGCCAAGAUAAGUAAUAUUAUGUUAGCUGCAAUACAUUUUUAUUUUAUUCAUUCAUCAAUUCUAUGAUGGCUUGUUUUUGGUAUAUAUACUUUUAUUAUAAUACCAAAUUUUCAAUAUUUUGUUAUUCGCCACAGUAUAAUUUAUUGCAGUAAAUGUUUCGUGCGAACUCAACCCCUUUAAUAUGAAUUUGUUUUCUUUCCAUUCUGUGUUUGAAUUUCUCAUGUAAGUUAUUUCACAACAGAUGACACUUUUUAAUUAAAAAGUAAAUUAUUGCAUUUCUAUGUCAUAUCAAUUUAUAAACAAGUCCCUAGGCAUUCCUUACGCCAUGUCAAUUGUGGCGGAUGCAUUUCGUUCUACGCAUUUUUACGCCAUCUCAAUUAUUACGGAUACAUGUUGUCCUAUGCAUUUUUAUGCCAUGUCAAUUAUGACAUAUGUACUUUGUUUUCUAUGCAUUUUUACGCCAUGUCAAUUAUGGCGGAUGCAUUUUUUCUUAGCAUUUUUACUCCAUGUCAAUUAUGGUGGAUGCUUUGAAUCUUCUGUGUUUGUAGUACAUGUUUUAAUUGUAAGCAUUAACUCGUCAUAUUUAUGACCAAUACUUCAAAUUACAAUGAUCUCUACAUUUGCAUUUCGUCAAUUAUGGCGAAUGUACUUUUCUCUUAGCACUUUUACGUCGUGUCAAUUAUGGCAGAUGCUUUGUUAUUUCAUUAAUAUAAAGUGCAGGUCUUCUUAAUCAAGGCACAUACUGUAUAAUUAUUGAGCUCUAUUUUGUCUUUCCGAUUCUGUUAACUGUGGCAGAUGCUGUUCGUGAAUUGGCAUUUUCAAGUGUUCCAUGUUAUGACAAUUAUAAUGAUUUAAAAUCCACUUACAUAAAUGCUACUGGAUUUUAAAUAAUGCUUCCCAGUAUCAUUUCCUUUGAUAUGCUGGAUGUCCUUGUCAUCAUUUGCAUUUAUAGCCAUAUCAUACCAUAUCAUUUUGAUAGAUUUUGAAAGACAUCGCAUUUAGACCCAAAGUAUUAUAAUUCAUAGCUAUGAAAUCAUCUGACUCAAUGGAGCUUAAAGCGACAUGAUGUUUGAAUUCCUUUCAAAUUGUCAUUUGGUGAUUCAUUAUCUAUUUCUUUCAGUCUUUCAUCAUGGGUCCAAAGAGAAAGCAACCGCCCACUUCCACAAAUUCUCAGAAAGUGAGAUCAAAGCAGGCUUCAAAUAGAGACACUAAUCCAAGUCCAGCUAAGCGACACAGCAUCUUCAUCCAUGGAGGAUGCUAAUCACAUAAACAUAAACUAUGACUUGCUAGCCGAAGCCAUCUUACGUAAGCAACAAACUGUAAAUGUCAGCGGUUCAAAUGAAUCACCCAUUCAACAGCAUACUGAUCAGGAUUCACCAAUUGAUGUUGCUGGUCCAAAUGACCCUCUGAAUUCGCAGCUCAUCAACUCAAUCAUCUGCCACUGCCACAACAGCAAUCCCAUCUACAGUCUGCAAUCACACAAAUCAGUUUUCAUCCCUUUUGCAUGAUUUAUUUGCAGGAGGCCAAAAACACUAGCCCCAUGGUUAAGUCCCCAACCAACACCUCUUCCUUCUCAAAUUCAUUUAACGACAGGGAGCCUUCAAUUACUGGUAGCAGCCAUAGCACCAUCUACUCGAAGAGCUUACUUGCGGAGCUGGACCUUGUUUUUAGAUUACUGCAACUCAUCACAUUUCUCAUUUUCAUUUCCAUUCUCCCAAAUUCUGAUUUCCAAUUUCAUUAGUCAUUUACAAUUUCAAAAUCUUAGUGCUUCCACAAUUACGUCCCAUAAUUCGGCCCUAAGUUACGUACACAAACUUUGCAAUGCUAAUGACCCUACACAUCAUUUUGUGGUUCGCAAAAUCUUAAAAGGCUGCCAACAGUUAAAGAACUCGCUAGACACCAGAAUGCCUAUUACCAAGCCUAUACUGCUAAAAAUUCUGUCGACUUUACAAAAACCUGUACCUGAUAAUAACAAUAUGAUCAUGUUACGUGCCAUCUUCCUUCUGGCUUUCCAUGGAUUUUCUUCGCCUUGGGGAAUUAGCUGUACAAAACAAAGAACAUGUUGCUAAAGUUCUCCAAAGGGCUGAUCUCAAUUUUGUUGGAGAUCAGGGGGUUCAAAUCAGGCUCAAUUACUUUAAACAUAUGAAAAACAAUCAACCUGUUACCAUUUUGCUUUCACCCAGUAAGGAUGUACUAAUCUGUCCUGUCUGUGCCUUAUAUUUAUACACAAGCAAUUUCAACCACAAAUCUGGUCCAUUAUUUUCAUUUAAAUCUGGUGCACCAGUUUCUCGUGCUUUUGUAGUAUCAAACCUGAAAGCAGCCUUGACAUUAAAUGGUUUUAAUCCAAAUCUCUACAAAGGACAUAGUUUUCGGAUUGGUGCAGCAAGAGAGGCUGCCCGGUUAGGUUUUUCUGAAAAUUAUAUUCAGCAAUUAGGUCGAUGGCAUUCAAAUGCCAUGCAACGUUACAUAAGAAUCAAUUCAUUUUCAUUAUAAAUGUUAAAGCAAUUAAUGGACCUCCAUACUAAAUUAUCUGUACUGCCAAUUUCCAAUUCCCAUCAUUAACUACCCGAAACAGGCCAGUAUUUGACUGCUGUUUUUCCGUGAUCAUGCUCAGUAUUUGUAAUCACUUGCAGGCUAAUGUCUUGUAUGAACAUUGCUAUGAUUGACCUUUUCCCAUUAGAACAGGCCAGUAUUUGACUGCUGUUCUUAUGUGCCAUAAAAACUAUUGUAGGCCAGUGUAUGACUGCUACAUGAUUUUUAUAAUGUUAUACUGUAUAUUUUACAUUUAGAAUUACCCCCAACUCACAAUAUUUACAGGUUAGAAUAUACUCAAUGUUUCUUUGAUAUUGUAUUGUGUUUGUAAAAAAAAAUGUUUGUAUAUAUUUUAAAAAUAUAUUGUCUUUAAAAAUGCACAGACCAGUAUUUGACUGAUGUGCUUCUUAUUAAUUGUCUCUGUGAAACAUUUAACGUCUCUAAAAUUACAAUAUCUACGAAAUCUCAACUUUCAAUCCCGAUACAAUUACUUCUGGCUAUUCUUGGGUGGCGCAGCAACUAACAUGCUUAAGUUUGUUUGUUCCUUUUCUUCAUUGAUUUGAAAUAUGCAGUAUAUGAAAAUUUGAGCAAAAACAUAGCUGCGAAUAGCCAGAAUUAUUUUCCUAUUAUUGCAGAAAAUGUGUGGAUAUAAAAAUGUAUAAUGUUUUCUUACAGUACUGAUCUUUAUAUACUUCUAUUUGAAAUGAAAUGCAUGAAAUACGCCGAAAUUAUUAAAGGUAAUACAAGUCCCGCUUUAUUUAUCGGCAGUUUUUCUAAACAAAAAGGUGCAUGAAAUUGUUAUUUGUUACAAAAAGACUCCCGAGAAUUUGCAGAAAAAAAUAAUUAUAAACAUUUUAUUACAGAUGCAAAAUUCAUCAUGUUGAUAUACUGCACAAAAUAGCUAGUUUUCAACCGAAUUUUUCACACUUUUCUCGGAGAGUUUGCAUACAUGUACAUGUUAACAAUGUCAGAUACAUUCAAUGUGUAUUCCACUUUAAUUUAAUAUAUAGGUUUCCUAAGUAAACAACCGCGCUAAAGAGCGCUUUCAGAAAUAAUAGCAUGCAUAUUGCAGUUCAACAGUAGAAAUGACGUCGCCUAUCAGACUGACGAAAUCUCCAGUUCGGAGUUUUGUAUACUGUAACCAAUGGAAAUAUUUACGGGGGACAACUCUUUCAAGCUUCAAACUGGGGUACCCAAUGGGGAUUUAAAAGAUAAAAAUCGGAGACAUAUUCAUAUAUUUUAUAUAUUUCCCAGAUAAAAUCCAUUCUGAUACUGUUACCAAUCUCAGUAUGAAUAAUAAAAUCUUUUUGUUUUGUUUUUCAUUACACAGUUUAUAGUACGGAACACUGUUACAUGUAUCAGAAAAAAAAUAAAAUAAGAAUGAUAAAAUGACAUCUGUUGUUUUUUUAAAUGCAUAAAUGGAUAAUAUGGAGUAAAUUUUUAAAUACAUAUACAUAUGUUUAUGAAUAAAGAAGGUGCUGCGCGUCUCAUGUUAAUUUCCCUAAAGGUGUUACGUGAGAUAUCGUUGAAAUAAAGAUGUUCAAAUAUAUGAUAAAAUCAAUUGGAACUUAUGUCUUGAUUCAAACAUUUUGCCCCCCCCCCUUUUUCUCUCUUUUUUUCCUUUUAUGUUUUUUUUUUUUUUUUUUACAUGUAUAUACCCUUACUUUUCUUCCUUUCUCUUUCAAUUUGUAUAAAUAUUUUUCAGUUCUCAUUUGAUUUUUUUUCUUUUCAAUAUUUUCUUUUUCAUUUCGUUUACUCAUUCUAUAUGAGUGUAUUUAUAUUUAUGUAUGUGUGCAUAUAUCGAAACUUUUCUUAGUCUAUCUGUUGCUAUUCAUAUAUAUGUGUACAUUCAUGUGAUUGUUCUCUGGUGUAUAUGCUAUUUAUUUGAAUACCUGUGUGCCUUGUAUUUCCAUUUCACACUUGACCUUGUCGUAGGGAGAGGGCUUAAAUAGGUUAUGCCUGCUGCCCGAUCCCAUUCACUUUGUGAAUAACAUAUAGUUUAAAUUAAAAAAAAAAUUAAAAUUAAAUAUUUUUGAAAAUAAGUUUAAAAGACGUGUAUUAACAGAAAUUAGCCAAACUAAUUUGAGUUUAAAUCAAGCAAUAAGCGAUUUCUAUGAUUUUUAGCGUUACAAUAGAGGGGAAUCCCCGAAUUUCAGAAAAAAAAACUACCUCCGUGAAACAAAAUGAAUUUAGUAUGAACAAGACUUAUCAGUGCUGUUAUGAUGGCCAGCACAGUACUGUGAUGUUUUGAGCUACACCACUAGAACAAUACUUCCAACACACAAGAUUUAAACGUAUCGCUCUAGAAUGCAUCCUACUUAUGUUAAUUCAUCCAAAUAAUAACGAACAACUGAUGCUAAAUGUAGAAAUCUGAAGAGUACAUGUAUGUUCUCACUCAAUUAUAACUACAAGUGUAGUGUGAUGACUUACGUAUCAAGUGGAUUUGAGUAUCUACUUCAUUGUUAAUUGUUUCACACUGCUUCUGAGGACAAGGUUAUUUGAAGGAAAACAAAAUCAAGUUACUCGAUGCGAUAAAGAAAAUCCCUGUAAGAUCUUAUUGAUCGGUUAUAUGGAUGAAUAAUUUGUAGAUUCGAAAUAUUAUAUAAGAUGUAUGGUGAUAUUUAAGAACUGGAUUGGAGAUUUCUUAGUUAUUUCAAGGUACAUAUGUGAUUUUAUAUGUGUACAUGGUAUACAGGAAGACCAUCGAACAAGGGAGGGAUUUUUGCAGUUGAAGAAUGUUAUGAUUUAACAAUACACUGUCGCCUUUCUGGGUUUUCUAUCCUACAGUAACGUAUUUCAUAUACCACUCUUCAUAAAAAGCAUACAUAGUUUAAUCGAGGCAAAUCAGUGUAAACAUGUAUAAUCUCUAAACUCCAAGAACGAUAACUCUUCAAGUUUUGCUGAAGACAAGACUAAACGUAUUGUAAAGUUACGUGACCUUGUCUGGAUUAGAUUUAUACAAAAGUUUCCAGGUGUAAACGGUUCAUAAGUAUUUCAAUUUUUGUGUGUGUAUCUUUGAUAGGGGAUGGUCUAUCUUAAUGGCCUUCUGUAUCUUAUGACGUCACUCAAAUUUUUGAAUGGUUAUUGAAAUAGGUGAGGUAAGUAAAUGACCAUUAAAUCUGACAGAAUGAUUACUUAACGAAAACUGAGUGGUCACUAAUUGAAGAUGGAUGACGACUACGUGGUAACUGAAUAUUCACUAGAAUGUGACGGAUUGGUCACUGAAUAUUCACUAGAAUGUGACGGAUUGGUCACUGAAUAUUCACUAGAAUGUGACGGAAUGGUCACUGAAUAUUCACUAGAAUGUGACGGAUUGGUCACUGAAUAUUCACUAGAAUGUGACGGAAUGGUCACUGAAUGGUAAUUAAAAUGUGAUUGAAUGGUUACAUAAUGUUGACUGAAAGACUACUGAAUUAUCCAUCAAAGGUUACUAAAUUAAUACUGAAAGUUCAUUGAAAGGCAUAACAAAUGAUAAUUGAAAUGUAACUGUCAUUCAGUCGACCGAAAUAUUACUAAAACAUCACUGAAUCGAACACUUCAGUUUUAACUGAAAUAUAUAAUUUGGAAGUUGAGGACAGGAACAGUGAUCAACCUCAUAACUCCUAUAAGCAAUACAAAAUACCAACAUAUACUGCCCAGCA